CUGAAAGCAGAGAGUCCAUUAGUCACAGCACCAUUAAGAUCAGAAACAAAGAGCAAUCUAAAACAUUUCCCUGGCUGCUCACUUUCAUUUGGUUGGCUGUUUUGUGAAGUUUAGAUUCCUGAGAACAGCAAUGCAUUCAUUCAAGGAGGAGAGGUGAAAUCGCAUCACGCUUUCUACGGUUCAUGUUUGCCUGCCUACUACAGUCUGCUCAACUACGGAACCUGCAACUGGAUUCAAUCUUCUGCCUCAUGCUUCAUGGCCGCUCCGUUAUCAGGUGUGACAGAACUCAGCUGGUUUCUUCCCCUGGUCAACCCCAAAGCAACUGCGAUCAUCGGCAGAAACAGUGCACUGGAGUGCAAAUAAUAUAUUUCUUUUCAGUCAUCUCACAAUGGGGUUUGCAUGACGUUUAAAAAUGUCACAUGUUUCCAAACACUACGUUUAUCCAGUACAUGACUAUGCUGCAGUAAAUGGUUUAAUACAAGCAAGAAAAAGUCAGUUUUGGACUCAGUGGUCACAUAUGUAAUGUCUCAGUGGACUUCCCAGUGAAUGUAUAUUUCAGCUUGUGGCACUAUCUUUUUUCAUUUCAUUUUUUUAUUUUUGAAAAUGAACAUACUUUUUUUUUCUAGGGCACAGAGGAAUGUGGAUAGCACAGUGAGAAGGGGAUGAGAGAAAUGUGGAGAUCUGCAGGACAGAUCCUCAGGAAGCUCUAGAUAAAUGUUCAGAUUCUCAACUCAACAGUUUAUCAGUUAGCAUGCAACACUGGCAAUUUUCAGAUUUAAGUUUCUAUUUUUAAGAGAGUAUGUCACUUUUAAAGUUGACUGACAGAGUGUAAUAAUAAGCAAAUGUUUCAUUUGAAAGGAGUGCAUUCUUCCUUAGGAGAAAACAAGUCUUUUUCAAGCACCAGCAAGUCUGAAAUCUGCGUGCAUUGAGGCAAACCAAGUCCUCAAUGAUGGUUUCUCCAAGUUCCACUUUAAGCCUGUUCUACUACUGUAUAUGCAAAUCCUGCAGAUAGUGAUCUUCAGAACAUUUAGAAAGUGCUGCUGUGAGGCUCUUAAGAAGCCCUGUGUUAAAUAGUGUCAUGGGCAAUUCUUUGCUGUUGCUGUAUCUGUGACUAAAUGAUGGCCUUCUUUUUCAGCAUGUUAACGCGAGACGUAAAUCAAAGUUGGUUGGAGUUAAUUUCCCUUUACUGACUCCAAAACCAUAAACAUGGAGAUGUCUGCACAUCUAGUCUCUUUUGUAAGGAACAUGGGAUUCAGCAAGUAGAGGGAAUGUCUGGGAAGAAACAAAUGAAAAUGAGAAUCUUUACAAUUAUUAAACUACUGUAAUUAUUGCUUGUAUUUAAUCAAUAUUUCACAUUUUCUGAUUAUUUGAUUUUUAUUUCAAAAUGUGGGUCACAGCAUAUGCAUAAUACAUGAUUAAAAAAAUCUGUGAACAUUAGUUUGUUAAUAGAAUAGAGCAUGUGAAGCACAAAUUGGUUAAUCUAAACCUCUGGAUAAAGACAGUUAUUACGUGUCACUCUACUGAAUCAAUCAUCAUUUCAGCAAUCUACUCCCAUCCCCUGAUUAUACCUCAAAUAUCUCAAAUGUGGUUCUAUUUUAAAUAGUCUGUAGGCCAAUAUGGUGCCUAGGGUAGCACUGUCACUUCAGAACUGGGUUUGAAUCUGUCUGUCUGGAGUUUUCAUGUUCUCUCUGCCUUAUAUCAGAGCUCUCUAGGUUAGUCUCUAAACUGACGCCUGUACAUGUGUGUGUUUGUCCUGUAAUAAACUGGUGUACAAUCCAAGGUUCAGGGACUUGAAAAACACCUACAACAAGCUCUUGUAUGCACUGCCUUAAUGUAA